AUAACUUUUAUUAACUUAAAGGGACAAAAAAUAGGAUUAAAAACGCCUUUUUAGUGCAUGGAUUGCUUCUUUUUUAACUUAUCUGAGAACAAUUGCUAUGGGUAAAGCAUAAAAUGGCAGGUAAAUGGCCUUAAUCAAUAUCGAAAAAAAGAAUCAUAUUCACCGUCCACUUUCGAACCCCGGGCGUCAGCCAUCUUGACACAGUUUGAAAUAACGCGGCUUCUCGACUCAGAUACGAGAUGUAAACAAUGCAAACAGCAUGUCGUUUCGAAGGUGAGCGUGGACGUGAAGGAGAAGAGGAAUUGCUCACCGAAUCUUUGCAGCCUUUCAGAGGAGGAAUUGGGUGAUAUACCCCUUCAAGCACGAGUGAAGAGAUCAGUGCCUCAAGUUAUAUCUGGAAAACUCAUACCAGGAAGCACUCCAAUCUUACAAUACUGCAUCACUUCAAUGUCGGUGUGACAAGUUGUGUAAAAGACUGCUAUAAAAAUUUUGCAGCGAUGACCACAUGAUCCACCACCUUUUACCAAAACUGAGUGAACAGUUUUAUAUUAUAAUGCCCAUGUACAUGUAUUUAAAGUGACAAGACUGAGAUCAGCGAGAGCCUCAAGGCCUUUAUUUUCUGGGCAUUGUCAACUCUUCAAUAAUUUUAUAAUUUUGUCAAAUACAUCCAAAGAUUCAAUUCUAAUGCAAUUCUUGAAAACUUUUUUAGAAUAUAUUUUAAUGUCAAAUAUGUUUUUCUAAGAACUAGCCCUUUAGUAAAUUAACAACAUGUAUUAUCCAACUGUUAUUAUUAAUUAACAU